rnacentral:tRNA from 1 species
GGUGGGAUGACAGAGUGGACGAACGUGCCUGCCUGGAAAGCAGGUGGCUGAAAGGCCUCGUCGGUUCGAAUCCCACUCCCACCG